GAGCAGACUCGAUUACACGCGGUAGCAAUAUUCUCGUAGUCGGAGUCGGCUGCAAGGGUGCGUAACACGUGGGUAAUCUGCCGUGAAGUUCGGGAUAACUCGCUGAAAGGCGAGCUAAUACCGAAUGUGAAAAUUGGGAGGCAUCUUUUGAUUUUCAAAGUUGGGGACCGUAAGGCCUGACGCUUCAUGAUGAACCCGCGGCCUAUCAGCUAGUUGGUGAGGUAACGGCUCACCAAGGCUAAGACGGGUAGCUGGUCUGAGAGGACGACCAGCCACACUGGAACUGAGACACGGUCCAGACACCUACGGGUGGCAGCAGUCGAGAAUUUUUCACAAUGGGGGAAACCCUGAUGGAGCGACGCCGCGUGGGGGAUGAAUGGCUUCGGCCCGUAAACCCCUGUCAUUCGCGAACAAUGCUCAUGGUAUAACACAUCGUGAGUUGAUAGUACCAGAAGAGGAAGAGACGGCUAACUCUGUGCCAGCAGCCGCGGUAAUACAGAGGUCUCAAGCGUUGUUCGGAUUCAUUGGGCGUAAAGGGUGUGUAGGUGGCGCGUUAAGUCGGGUGUGAAAUUUCGGAGCUUAACUCCGAAACUGCAUUCGAUACUGGCGUGCUUGAGGACUGGAGAGGAGACUGGAAUUCAUGCUGUAGCAGUGAAAUGCGUAGAGAUCAUGAGGAAGACCAGUGUCGAAGCGGGUCUCUGGACAGUUCCUGACACUGAGACACGAAGGCCAGGGGAGCAAAC
rnacentral:rRNA from 1 species